CGGACGGGUGAGUAACACGUGGAUAACCUACCUAUAAGACUGGGAUAACUUCGGGAAACCGGAGCUAAUACCGUAUAAUAUAUUGAACCGCAUGGUUCAAUAGUGAAAGACGGUUUUGCUGUCACUUAUAGAUGGAUCCGCGCCGCAUUAGCUAGUUGGUAAGGUAACGGCUUACCAAGGCAACGAUGCGUAGCCGACCUGAGAGGGUGAUCGGCCACACUGGAACUGAGACACGGUCCAGACUCCUACGGGAGGCAGCAGCC
rnacentral:rRNA from 1 species